CACUCUCUCUCUCUCUCUCUCUCUCUCCUCAGACACUUUAUAGCACACUAUCUCACUAACGCACUCUCACAGGAGAGAGAGAGAGAGAGAGAGAGCUCUUAUGUUAAAAAAAGGGUCUCCGUUUGCUACUGAUAUAUUACUUCUUCAAAUCUACAUCGCUCCUUCGAAAUCCUACCCGACCAAUGCCACCGCUGCCGCCGUCUACCGACCUCCGCCGCGUGAACCAGCGGAUUUGGCGGGCCUGCGCGGGGUCAUCGGUUCAUAUCCCGACCUUCAAUUCUAGGGUUUACUACUUCCCUCAAGGCCACCUCGAGCAAUCCUCCUCUUCUGCUUCUCCUCCUCUCCUUUCUACUCUUGCUCUCUCCAGACCUUUAAUCCUUUGCCAAAUCUCCGCUGUUCAAUUCCUUGCCGAUCCUGUUACUGAUGAGGUGUACGCGAAACUGCUUCUUUUUCCUAUUGAUCCUUCAUUGAACCAUUCUCUUCCCCUCCUGGAACCUUGUGGAUGCCUCGAGCGAGAAGGCAGAGAUGAUGAUGAGGAUAAGAUUGUGGCGUUUGCGAAGGUUUUGACUCCCUCUGAUGCCAAUAAUGGUGGCGGUUUCUCUGUUCCAAGGUUUUGUGCGGACUCCAUAUUCCCGCCUUUGAACUACCAAGCGGACCCGCCUGUCCAAACCCUAACAGUUACCGACAUUCAUGGCGUUUCUUGGAAUUUUAGGCACAUUUAUCGAGGGUCACCACGCAGGCACUUGUUAACAACCGGGUGGAGUAAGUUCGUGAACCACAAGAAGUUGAUCGCUGGUGAUUCGGUGGUUUUCAUGAGGAAUUUGGCGGGAAAUAUGUUUAUUGGAGUGCGCAGGGCUGUGAGGUCCAACAAUGAUGAGGAUUGCUCUAGGUGGCGGGAGCAGAUUGGUUGCGUGACUGGUGAUGUGAAAAUGAAGGUGAAGGAGGAGGGGUUCUCGAGGAGCGUGAGAGGUAGAGUGUCGCAGGAGGCUGUCUUGGCGGCAGUAGAGAGGGCAGCGCAGGGUUUGCCAUUUGAGGUGGUGUAUUAUCCGAGGGCCGGUUGGUUCUCAGAUUUCGUGGUGAGGGCUGAGGUGGUGGAGCGAGCGCUCAGUGUGUUUUGGACGGCUGGGAUGAGAGUGCAGAUGGAAAUGGAGACGGAGGACUCGUCCCGGAUGACAAGGUUUCAGGGUACAGUUUCAUCUGCUGCUGUGCGAGACUGUGGGCCGUGGCGAGGCUCUCCUUGGCGCAUGCUUCAGAUUGCGUGGGAUGAACCUGAAGUUCUGCAAAAUGCAAAGAAAGUGAGCCCUUGGCAGGUCGAAUUUGUUGCACCCACACCACCACUUCAAGCUGCAUUCCCUCCUGUGAAAAGAUUCAAAAUUCCUGAAAAUUCUGGGUUGCUGACAGAUGGAGAUGGAAAACUGUUCUUUCCUAUGUCAGGACAAAGUAAUUCAACAGUGGGGAACAUGAAUGAGUCAUUGUUGAAUUAUAACACUUUUCCUGCUGGCAUGCAGGGAGCCAGGCAAAAUCCUUUUCCCACUUUUGGUUUAUCCAACUUCUUACGUGAGAAUGCUUCUCAAAUAUGCCCUGAUAAUGUCUUUGGUAGCAAGAUGGUUCAAAAACUGAAAACCGUAUCUACUGAGCUGACCAUUGGCAGUUCACAGUCUGACAACUUAUCCCUAGAUAGUCAGAGUAGCAUGUAUUCUUUUGGUUCAGAACUUGUUGCAAACCCAGGAAGCAGCUCAACAAAAGCUGGUAUUAGUUCAGUUCAGUUAUUCGGUAGGAUCAUUCAUGUGAACCAGCCUGUUGGAAGUGGUUUUGAUGAUGAUGGCUGCAUGGAAGAUUGUGGCAGUAAAGAGUACAAUGAAAACAAUCCGCUAGACCUUGCAUUAGCAUCAGCAUCCUCUUACACAGAGCUGCUCAACAGGAUUGAUGUCCAAUGCCAAUGAACAUCAAUGGUUGAAACUUGCUCUUUAUGAACUAGUAUUUGUGAAAUGUUAGGCAGAUAAGUAGCUGUACAGGUAUGAGUACCUCUGAAUAACCUACUGUAAUCCCCUUUCUUGUCCAAUUUGAUUACAAGCUUCAAUUCCAAGACAUUGAAUUCUUAUCCCAAAUGUUCUCCAUUUAGCUUUGAUAGCACAACAUUGUUGAUCAUAUGACAUGAUUCUCUAGAGUUUUUAUUCAUUUGUGUUGAUGCAUUUUGGAUAUUAUAAUUAUGCCAAAAUUUUAUCAUUUGCCUGUCAUUUGUGCUGGAUUUGGGGGGCUGGCCUAGUGUCACAAGUAACUUUCAUUAAUGGUGCUUCUUACGCUUCCUUGCAAUCUACAUUGAAGUAUUCAAAAUCUGUCUAAAUGUUGGUUAAUUUCUUACUUCAAACCAGUCUGUAUCGUAUUAUGUCCACAUUUGAGUUUGUUUUCAUUAUCAAUGUGGUCUAGUUGCUGCAGUUGUUAAAGUUGUAUUUACACUCUGAAUUUAUUUCAUCAUGUUCCCAAAAGGUGCUUUAAAGUGUGAUAUCAAGGCAUAUUCUCAUCUUUGUACCUAGGUACUACCAUACUAGUUUAUUUUUGGUUGCAGUGUUCUAUCUUACAGAAGCGUAACAUGUUUGCGUGCUAUGUGCUAUGAGCUUAUUGACUACAUAACUCCAGAAAACAGUACUACAAGCAGGCAGCAAGCUGACUUCUUAUUGGACCCUGCCAGUAGUAACUAUUGUGUGUUUUCUUUAGUCAGCGAUGUUGGAACUCGGACAAUUGUAAACAUAGUAUUUGUUUAAAUCAAGUAUUGAACGUUUGUGUGGCAAA